CGGUCCAAACUCCUACGGGAGGCAGCAGUGGGGAAUAUUGCACAAUGGGCGAAAGCCUGAUGCAGCAACGCCGCGCGAGUGAUGAAGGCCUUCGGGUCGUAAAACUCUGUCCUCAAGGAAGAUAAUGGCGGUACUUGAGGAGGAAGCCCCGGCUAACUACGUGCCAGCAGCCGCGGUAAUACGUAGGGGGCUAGCGUUAUCCG
rnacentral:rRNA from 1 species